AUACUUUGUGAUGAUUUUUAUUAUCGCCCCAGUCUGAUUUUAUUAUGACUGAUUGGUAAUUCUGAUAUUUC